rnacentral:rRNA from 1 species
UACGGGGGGAGCAAGCGUUGUUCGGAUUUACUGGGCGUAAAGGGCGCGUAGGCGGCCAGCGCAAGUCAGUUGUGAAAUCUCCGGGCUUAACUCGGAACGGUCAACUGAUACUGCGCGGCUAGAGUGCAGAAGGGGCAACUGGAAUUCUCGGUGUAGCGGUGAAGUGCGUAGAUAUCGAGAGGAACACCUGCGGCGAAGGCGGGUUGCUGGGCCGACACUGACGCUGAUGCGCGAAAGCCAGGGGAGCAAACGGG